rnacentral:rRNA from 1 species
UACAGAGGUCUCAAGCGUUGUUCGGAUUCAUUGGGCGUAAAGGGUGUGUAGGUGGCGCUGUUAGUCGGGUGUGAAAUUUCGGAGCUUAACUCCGAAACUGCAUUCGAUACUGCGGUGCUUGAGGACUGGAGAGGAGACUGGAAUUCAUGGUGUAGCAGUGAAAUGCGCAGAUAUCGGGAGGAACACCGGUGGCGAAGGCGGUUCUCUGGGCCUUGCCUGACGCUGAGGAGCGAAAGCGUGGGGAGCGAACAGG